UUUUCAGCAAUCGGGAAAGGUUUUACUUAGUGGUGAAUUAAUAGGGAAUCGUGUGCAAAUCACGAACUGUCGCGCAACUGUAAGUAACGCAAAAGGUUUUACCAAACAUGGUCACUGUGCAAACGGGAAGGCUGGUAAAAGCCGUUACAAGUCAGGAUACCUGCCUUUUCCGAAUUGACGAU
rnacentral:ncRNA from 2 species